GGAGGAGCACGAAGGUUGGCUAAUCCUGGUCGGACAUCAGGAGGUUAGUGCAAUGGCAUAAGCCAGCUUGACUGCGAGCGUGACGGCGCGAGCAGGUGCGAAAGCAGGUCAUAGUGAUCCGGUGGUUCUGAAUGGAAGGGCCAUCGCUCAACGGAUAAAAGGUACUCCGGGGAUAACAGGCUGAUACCGCCCAAGAGUUCAUAUCGACGGCGGUGUUUGGCACCUCGAUGUCGGCUCAUCACAUCCUGGGGCUGAAGUAGGUCCCAAGGGUAUGGCUGUUCGCCAUUUAAAGUGGUACGCGAGCUGGGUUUAGAACGUCGUGAGACAGUUCGGUCCCUAUCUGCCGUGGGCGCUGGAGAAUUGAGGGGGGCUGCUCCUAGUACGAGAGGACCGGAGUGGACGCAUCACUGGUGUUCGGGUUGUCAUGCCAAUGGCACUGCCCGGUAGCUAAAUGCGGAAGAGAUAAGUGCUGAAAGCAUCUAAGCACGAAACUUGCCCCGAGAUGAGUUCUCCCUGACUCCUUGAGAGUCCUGAAGGAACGUUGAAGACGACGACGUUGAUAGGCCGGGUGUGUAAGCGCAGCGAUGCGUUGAGCUAACCGGUACUAAUGAACCGUGAGGCUUAACCUUACAACGCCGAAG
rnacentral:rRNA from 1 species